rnacentral:tRNA from 1 species
AAGGGAGACCUAAUUCCGGUAGGAGACGAAAAAAAGUAGUCCCUACCAAGAAUCAAUCCCAAAAGGUCGAAGCGAGGCAAGAUUGGCUUUCAAACUAGGUUCUGGGUUCAAACAAGACCUGAAUCAGGAACAAGGGCUAUUAGCUCAGGUGGUUAGAGCGCACCCCUGAUAAGGGUGAGGUCCCUGGUUCGAGUCCAGGAUGGCCCACCUGCACAGGUGGCAAAAACAAAGAAGCGAGGAAUCAGCACCUUAUCUUACUCAUAUAGUAAGAGAGAAUGCUGGCUCUGAGUAAAGAGUCCAGAGGAACCUUGAAAACUGCAUAGAGCUAGGUGAAAAAGCCAAAAAAGAAGACCGCAA